CCUACGGGGCGCAGCAGUGGGGGAUAUUGCACAAUGGGGGGAACCCUGAUGCAGCGACGCCGUGUGGGUGAAGGAGCGUUUCGGCGCGUAAAGCCCUAUCGGCAGGGAAGAAGGAGGACGGUACCUGACUAAGAAGCCCCGGCUAACUACGUGCCAGCAGCCGCGGUAAUACGUAGGGGGCAAGCGUUAUCCGGAUUUACUGGGUGUAAAGGGAGCGUAGGUGGCAUGGUAAGCCAGAAGUGAAAACCCGGGGCUCAACCCCGCGGAUUGCUUUUGGAACUAUCAGGCUGGAGUGCUGGAGGGGG
rnacentral:rRNA from 1 species